AGUGAACGCUGGCGGUAUGCCUAACACAUGCAAGUCGAACGGCAGCACAUUAAGAGCUUGCUCUUACGGGUGGCGAGUGGCGGACGGGUGAGGAAUACAUCGGAAUCUACUUUUUCGUGGGGGAUAACGUAGGGAAACUUACGCUAAUACCGCAUACGACCUACGGGUGAAAGCAGGGGAUCUUCGGACCUUGCGCUAUUGAAUGAGCCGAUGUCGGAUUAGUUAGUUGGCGGGGUAAAGGCCCACCAAGGCGACGAUCCGUAGCUGGUCUGAGAGGAUGGGCAGCCACACUGGAACUGAGACACGGUCCAGACUCCUACGGGAGGCAGCAGUGGGGAAUAUUGGACAAUGGGCGAAAGCCUGAUCCAGCCAUACCGCGUGGGUGAAGAAGGCCUUCGGGUUGUAAAGCCCUUUUGUUGGGAAAGAAAAGCAGCAGGUUAAUACCCCGCUGUUCUGACGGUACCCAAAGAAUAAGCACCGGCUAACUUCGUG
rnacentral:rRNA from 1 species